UACGUAGGUGGCAAGCGUUGUCCGGAAUUAUUGGGCGUAAAGCGCGCGCAGGUGGUUUCUUAAGUCUGAUGUGAAAUCCCACGGCUCAACCGUGGACGUGCAUCCGAAACUGCUCGGCUCGAGUAUGGAAGAGGGUCGCGGAAUUCCCGGUGUAGAGGUGAAAUGCGUAGAGAUCGGCAGGAACACCCAGGGGGAAACCAGCCGACUGGGCAUCUACUGACGCUGAGGUGCGAGAGCGUGGGGAGCAAACAGG
rnacentral:rRNA from 1 species